CGACUCAGGUGGUCAGGUAGAGAAUACCAAGGAGAUCGAGAGAAUCGUGGUUAAGGAACUCGGCAAAAUGCCCCCGUAACUUCGGGAGAAGGGGGGCCAUCCACUUAUACGGACUUGCUCCGGAAAGGGUGUGGUGGCCGCAGAGACUAGUGGGUAGCGACUGUUUACUAAAAACACAGGUCCGUGCGAAGACGCAAGUCGAUGUAUACGGACUGACGCCUGCCCGGUGCUGGAAGGUUAAGAGGACCGGUUAGCCCUUUUGGGCGAAGCUGAGAAUUUAAGCCCCAGUAAACGGCGGUGGUAACUAUAACCAUCCUAAGGUAGCGAAAUUCCUUGUCGGGUAAGUUCCGACCUGCACGAAUGGCGUAACGACUUCCCAACUGUCUCAACCGCGAACUCGGCGAAAUUGCAUUACGAGUAAAGAUGCUCGUUACGCGCAGCAGGACGGAAAGACCCCGUGACCUUUACUACAGCUUGGUAUUGGUGUUCGGUGUGGCUUGUGUAGGAUAGGUGGGAGACUGUGAAACCAUGACGCCAGUUAUGGUGGAGUCAUUGUUGAAAUACCACUCUGGUCACUCUGGAUAUCUAACUUCGAACCGUGAUCCGGUUCAGGGACAGUGCCUGGUGGGUAGUUUAACUGGGGCGGUUGCCUCCCAAAAAGUAACGGAGGCGCCCAAAGGUUCCCUCAACCUGGUUGGCAAUCAGGUGGCGAGUGUAAGUGCACAAGGGAGCUUGACUGUGAGACUGACAGGUCGAGCAGGGACGAAAGUCGGGACUAGUGAUCCGGCAGUGGCUUGUGGAAGCGCUGUCGCUCAACGGAUAAAAGGUACCUCGGGGAUAACAGGCUGAUCUUGCCCAAGAGUCCAUAUCGACGGCAUGGUUUGGCACCUCGAUGUCGGCUCGUCGCAUCCUGGGGCUGGAGUAGGUCCCAAGGGUUGGGCUGUUCGCCCAUUAAAGCGGUACGCGAGCUGGGUUUAGAACGUCGUGAGACAGUUCGGUCCCUAUCCGCUGCGCGCGUAGGAAGUUUGAGAGGAUCUGACCCUAGUACGAGAGGACCGGGUUGGACGAACCUCUGGUGUGCCAGUUGUUCCGCCAGGAGCACCGCUGGUUAGCUACGUUCGGGAUGGAUAACCGCUGAAAGCAUCUAAGCGGGAAGCCGGCCUCAAGAUGAGACUUCCAUACCUUCGGGUGAGAGGCUCCCAGCCAGACUACUGGGUUGAUAGGCCAGAUGUGGAAGCACGGCAACGUGUGCAGCUGACUGGUACUAAUAAGCCGACGACUUGAUAACA
rnacentral:rRNA from 2 species